UUGGGUUGUCGCGCUUGAUUGGUAUUUAAUGAGUUCGAAAGCGUUUUGUUCCUGAAAUAUAUGCUCAAGGAUCUCGAAAAUAUCUAAGCGAUCAUAGAGGACUUAAAUUUAUGGAAAUUUCCAGUGGUAAAUGAACGUUUAAAAGCUUUUAAAUUGUAUAUGUUUUAAAAAAAAUAUAUUCUUGGAACGUCCGUGAACUAAAAUCACCUUUCAUUGAGGAUGUGGAGGAUGUAAUACCGCUUUUUAAUUAAGGACGGCAGUAUAAUAAUGAGUAAGCAAGUACAGGACUUUAAUUUGACCCACCGCUAGUCUGUCGCCUGCUGCCCGGAGCGUGGAAUUUUCUCAGUAAAGUGACUAUUUCUUUUUGAUUGUUUAUUUAUUUAUUUUUUGUUGGGUAUAUUACGGAAAAAUUUCCAGAUUCCUUUAUAUUUCCUUUUUUGUACAUUUUUUUUUCUUUAAUUACUGUUAACUAUAAGUUAAGACUACAUUAUUUAAAGUGCGUUUCAAGUGCAUUAUUAUUUGGCACAUGUGUGUUAUUUAGCAUUUUAUAAAAUCUGUAAGAGGGUUGAGUUUGAAUAGCCCUAGGCUAGACUUCGCCAACCAAGAAACAUAUUAUAAUACAAAUAUUAUGUAAUGAAUUUUUGCAAAUAAAAGUCAUUUAUUAUUA